UCCCCUCUCUCUAAAAAUAAAUAAAUCCAAUCUUCAAAAAGAAAAGCUUUGAAUUCAGCUCAGGGUUUGUUUAUACUGUGCUUGCAUGUGUGUGUGUGUUUGGGACUGGGAGGUUUGCUGUGGACAUUUCUCUUAUUUCCUUAAAUCUCAUCAGUGCAACAAAAAUUCUGUUUAAUAUAAGAAAUAGUUUUUUUUGUAACUGAAGGUCCCUUCCUGCUUUCAGUCCAGUAUACAGCUAGAAGUAGGUAUUCUCAGAUCUGCAUUUUUUAACAAUGUGAUUUUAUGAAGGGAGGUGAAAAUUUCAUAUAUUUGAAAGCAGCUUAAUUCUGAAUAUGAUAGGUCUGUGUGUUUCCAGACAAGCUCUUUCUCCUCUAAUCCGCUGCCCAAAUGGGGAGGGAUAGGGAGUGUCGUAUCUCCCAGGACCACACGUCCUCCUACCAAUUGCAACUAAUGGGGGACUUGGAGGGUUUUCUUAAUCAUUCUUUUCCUCUUCCUGUGGCAUUGCCUGAUUCAAAAGGAACCACAUUCUUUUAUCUUGUGCUGCCCACUCCCAGAGAACUUCAGGGUAGGGAGAUAGGGAUAGAAGGAACAGACCACUGGGGAGUGAUCGGAAGUUCUCAGGCUUCCCACCAGCACUUUAUGGAAAGGAAAUAUUUAAUGUCAUUUCCCCGCCCCCACUAAAUCCUUACAUAUCCUUUCCUAAUGCACACCUUUUUCUAAGUAUGUAUUUAGUGUUUGCUUAUUUCUUGUUUUUAUAGGACAAGACAUUCAAAAGUUCUUUGUCUCCUGUACUGAUAGAAAAUUUCAGAGUGAGACCCUUAUGCAUUAAAUCCUAGACCCCCCAAAAAAAUAACCCAACCCAACACAUCCCCCCCCCCCCCAAACAUCAUCAUAACCUCCUAAGGCUGAGGUUUUAUCAGCCUUCCAUAUCUUUGUCUCCUCUGUAGAGCUUAUCUCGGAAUUUUGUGUGUGGUUCAGGCUCAGUGUUUGCAGUAAAAAUGAUACCUGACCCUUUGCAAUUUACAGUGAUACUUUCAGAGAAUGAGGUAAUUGAAUGUGUGUGUAGAUAGAUAGAUCCUAAAACAACAAAAGAACUUUUUCUCUUGCAUUUGAAAUAGUAUAUUAAAAUUGGGGGUGGUUCUUUGGUAAUUAAAGUAACUCUUGAGUUCUUCCUAUAUAUUGUAUACACGAGCCUGUGUGAAUCAUGAUACAAAUGCAUUUACUUGGCCUGGGCAUAUCCUCUUUUAAUUGGCUAUU